AGCUCCAAUAGCGUAUAUUAAAGUUGUUGCAGUUAAAAAGCUCGUAGUCUGACUUUUGGCCUGGCGUUGAGCGUCCGCGGCCUUUGAGGUCGCGCGCAUGCGAUACCACGCUGGCUAAUUGUACUUCGGAGGAACGCGCGGGCUUUUAACUAAGCGCGUGCGGGAUUCCGAUAGUUUACUUUGAGAAAAAUAGAGUGUUCAAAGCAGGCGCUUCGCCGUUGAAUACAUUAGCAUGGGAUAAUGGAAUAGGACAUUCGGUUCUAUUUUGAUGGUUUACGGACCGAUGUAAUGAUUAAUAGGGACAGUUGGGGACAUUCAUAUUCCAUGGCUAGAGGUGAAAUUCUUGGAUUCAUGGAAGAUGAACUACUGCGAAAGCAUUUGUCAAAGAUGUUUUCAUUGA
rnacentral:rRNA from 1 species